CUCUGUGAUCCCCCGCAGCACCGGCUGGACGCGCGUCGUACGUCAGUGAGGAGCUGCUGCAGAAGAAAGAAGCGGCCUGGGGAUGCUGGAGGCAGGAGCAAGCAAGGACAGAGUGGUGUUGACUGUCUUUCUCAUUCGAUUAAGCUGUCUUUUGAAGCCACAGUUGAAAUGUUUGUAUUGCUCUUGUUAGCACAUUUUUCCUCCAUAGGCCUUUGAGAAUAAACGCUGCCUAUUUUUGUUUCA